UACGAAGGGUGCAAGCGUUACUCGGAAUUACUGGGCGUAAAGCGUGCGUAGGUGGUUUGUUAAGUCUGUUGUGAAAGCCCCGGGCUCAACCUGGGAAUGGCAAUGGAUACUGGCAAGCUAGAGUGCGGUAGAGGGUAGUGGAAUUCCCGGUGUAGCGGUGAAAUGCGUAGAGAUCGGAGGAACACCAGUGGCGAAGGCGGGUCUCUGGACAGUUCCUGACGCUGAGGCACGAAGCCGGGAGCAAAGCGGG
rnacentral:rRNA from 1 species